UACGAAGGGUGCUAGCGUUGUUCGGAAUCACUGGGCGUAAAGCGCGCGUAGGCGGCUUCCCAAGUCAGGGGUGAAAUCCUGAGGCUUAACCUCAGAAUUGCCUUUGAAACUGUGAAGCUAGAGUAUUGGAGGGGUUGGCGGAAUUCCUAAUGUAGAGGUGAAAUUCGUAGAUAUUAGGAGGAACACCGGUGGCGAAGGCGGCCAACUGGACAAUAACUGACGCUGAGACGCGAAAGCGUGGGGAGCAAACAGG
rnacentral:rRNA from 1 species